rnacentral:other from 1 species
AGCUUUUACCCAGUGUGAGCAAUUUUAUUUCAUUAGGGAAAGGAGUGAGGAAGGUACCAGAUAGCAGUAGUCUUUAAAAUAGAUUUGACUUUUGACUUUUGAACUUUUUCAUUUUAUUUCAUCCUCCAAGCUGUGCAGUCACUUGGCUUGCUAACUUUAUUUCUUUUAAGUGGAAGAACAGCAACUGGGUAGG